GCGCCUGUAGCUUAAUGGAUAGAGCACCUGACUACGGAUCAGGAGGUUGGGAGUUCGACUCUCUCCAGGCGCGCCA
rnacentral:tRNA from 2 species